rnacentral:rRNA from 1 species
AGGAAUCUUCCACAAUGGACGCAAGUCUGAUGGAGCAACGCCGCGUGAGUGAAGAAGGUUUUCGGACCGUAAAGCUCUGUUGUUGGUGAAGAAGGAUAGAGGUAGUAACUGGCCUUUAUUUGACGGUAAUCAACCAGAAAGUCACGGCUAACUACGUGCCAGCAGCCGCGGUAAAUCGUAGGUGGCAGGCGUUGUCCGGAUUUAUUGGGCGUAAAGCGAGCGCAGGCGGAAGAAUAAGUCUGAUGUGAAAGCCCUCGGCUUAACCGAGGAAUUGCAUCGGAAACUGUUUUUCUUGAGUGCAGAAGAGGAGAGUAGAACUCCAUGUGUAGCGGUGGAAUGCGUAGAUAUAUGGAAGAAUACCAGUGGCGAAGGCGGCUCUCUGGUCUGCAACUGACGCUGAGGCUCGAAAGCAUGGGUAGCGAACAGGAUUAGAUACCCUGGUAGUCCAUGCCGUAAACGAUGAGUGCUAAGUGUUGGGAGGCUUCCGCCUCUCAGUGCUGCAGCUAACGCAUUAAGCACUCCGCCUGGGGGAGUACGACCGCAAGGUUGAAAC